rnacentral:rRNA from 1 species
UGCAUCGAUGAAGAACGCAGCGAAAUGCGAUAAGUAAUGUGAAUUGCAGAAUUCAGUGAAUCAUCGAAUCUUUGAACGCACAUUGCGCCCCCUGGUAUUCCGGGGGGCAUGCCUGUUCGAGCGUCAUUACAACCCUCAAGCUCUGCUUGGUAUUGGGCCCCGCCGGUUCCGGCGGGCCCUAAAGUCAGUGGCGGUGCCAUCCGGCUCCGAGCGUAGUAAUUCUUCUCGCUCUGGAGACCCGGCUGUGUGCUUGCCAGCAACCCCCAAUUUUUUAAGGUUGACCUCGGAUCAGGUAGGGAUACCCGCUGAACUUAAGCAUAUCAAUAAGCGGAGGAA